rnacentral:rRNA from 1 species
UAGGGAAUCUUCCGCAAUGGACGAAAGUCUGACGGAGCAACGCCGCGUGAACGAUGAAGGCCUUCGGGUCGUAAAGUUCUGUUGUUAGGGAAGAACAAGUACCGGAGUAACUGCCGGUACCUUGACGGUACCUAACCAGAAAGCCACGGCUAACUACGUGCCAGCAGCCGCGGUAAUACGUAGGUGGCAAGCGUUGUCCGGAAUUAUUGGGCGUAAAGCGCGCGCAGGCGGUUCCUUAAGUCUGAUGUGAAAGCCCCCGGCUCAACCGGGGAGGGUCAUUGGAAACUGGGGAACUUGAGUACUGAAGAGGAAAGCGGAAUUCCACGUGUAGCGGUGAAAUGCGUAGAGAUGUGGAGGAACACCAGUGGCGAAGGCGGCUUUCUGGUCAGUAACUGACGCUGAGGCGCGAAAGCGUGGGGAGCAAACAGGAUUAGAUACCCUGGUAGUCCACGCCGUAAACGAUGAGUGCUAAGUGUUAGAGGGUUUCCGCCCUUUAGUGCUGCAGCAAACGCAUUAAGCACUCCG